UACAGGGGGUGCGAGCGUUAAUCGGAAUUACUGGGCGUAAAGCGCGCGUAGGCGGCUUUGCAAGUCGGGUGUGAAAUCCCCAGGCUUAACCUGGGAACUGCAUUCGAGACUGCAUUGCUAGAGUAUGGGAGAGGGAAGUGGAAUUUCCGGUGUAGCGGUGAAAUGCGUAGAUAUCGGAAGGAACAUCAGUGGCGAAGGCAGCUCGCUGGGACGGUACUGACGCUGAGGCGCGAAAGCGUGGGGAGCAAACAGG
rnacentral:rRNA from 1 species